AGGAAAAGAAAAUAACAAUGAUUCCCUCAGUAACGGCGAGCGRAGAGGGAUAAGCUCAANUUUUAAAUCUGUUGGGUUCCACUUAACAGAGUUGUAUUUUGAAGAAACGUUUUCUGCGUCCAGGAUUAGCCUAAAUCCUUUGGGAUAAGGUAUCAUGGAGGGUGAGAAUCCCGUUCAUGGUUAAUCUUAAGGAAGCUCUACGAUACGUUUUCCAAGAGUCGAGUUGUUUGGGAUUGCAGCUCAAAAUGGGAGGUAAAUUUCUCCUAAGGCUAAAUAUUGGCGAGAGACCGAUAGCGAACAAGUACCGUGAGGGAAAGAUGAAAAGAACUUUGAAAAGAGAGUUAAACAGUACGUGAAAUUGUUGAAAGGGAAACGAUUGAAGUCAGUCAUACCAACGGGAAAUCAACCUUUUGAGCUCGGUCUCGUGGGUUUUGAAGAGUUUCAAAGCCUUCGGAUUCGCGGGAUUGGGAUCUCUUGGUGUACUUUUUCGUACGGUUAGUCAACAUCGGUUUUGAAUGUCAUAAAAUGACUGGAGGAAUGUAGCUUCGAUCUCGUAUUGAAGUGUUAUAGCCUUUGGUAGAUGUGAUGUUUGAGACCGAGGAUUGCAACGGAUACCCUUCAGGGCUAUUCGUCUGAUCUCUGAUACGUUGCCUUGAUGUUGAAAGCUUGCUUAUGAUGUUAGGGUAUUACGGUCAAAAGGUUAGAACGAAUUACAUUCGUUAAGGAUGUUGACGUAAUGACUUUAAACGACCCGUCUUG
rnacentral:rRNA from 1 species